CUCCUAACUGAGCUUUUGAACACUAUUAAGCUGAGUGAUUUAAGGUUGCUUGGUUUUGGACAUGAUUUUAAAUCAGUCAGCAUUCCUCUUUUCUGUCAGUUCUGGGGUUUCCCUCUUU